AGUGGUUGGUGAUGUAUUUAUGCCAUUAAGUCAUUCACUCAUGCAUUUUCACAAUUCAUAUGAAGACAGGUUUGUUCAAGUAACAGAUAAUUAAUAUACUAAGCUAACCCCCCCAAACCAGGAAAGCCGCUUCAGGAGGAAGAACCAUAUAUUACUUUCUAUUACUUCAUUUGGCAAAUCAGCAGCAUGACUGAUAGCAUCAGGACACUUAGUUUGAGCCCCAAACUGAUGGCACUACACACCCCACUUUGACUCAAAAAAUGUAUUUGCUUCAUAAGAAUGUAAUCGGUAGGUGAUGAACCGAUUACUUCAAGUUCCUUAGCUACUGCUUAGUUAAAAUUGCUUUAGGAAAAGAAAUUUUAACAAGUGUAAGAUUACUGAUGUAUUUAACAACGCUAAACCAAGCAAUGUUUAAAAUGAACAUAAAAUACAACAAAACAUUUUCAACUGUGUAAAAGAAUGCUGCGCAUACGUCAAUAUACAGACGAUACUGUUCCUACAAUUAACAUCCUUUUCCCGACUGUUUCAGUAUAGAAUCACAGAAUGGUUUGGGUUGGAAAGGAUCUUAAGACCUUAAGAUCAUUUAGUUCCAACCCCCCUGCCAUGGGCAGGGACACCUCACACCAGACCAUGUUGCCAAGGCUGUGUCCAACCUGGCCUUGAACACUGCCAGGGAUGGAGCAUUUACCACUUCUUUGGGCAACCUGUUCCAGUGCCUCGCCACCCUCACAGUAAAGAGCUUUGAAAAUGAUAUAUUUCGACUAACACUUGAUUUCUUUCAAGAUGAAGAGCCUUUGAAAGAGCAAAGUGUUACAGGCAAUACUGGGAAAAAAUCACAAUUUAUGCCCAAUUGGAGAGCAUGAUUCUUCUAACACUUGUGCACGUAUGUUACUGACACUCAGUGAGAGUGUGGACAUGGAUGAGCAAAUGUACAAACAGGCAUUAAAACAUUCCAGUUUGACACGAUUCUGGUAUUUUAAAACAAACAGUUCACAAUUCCAUGGCUAUCCAAGGAAAAACACACAACAAACUGUUGCACUCCUUUUGCAUAGCUAGAUUUUUUGGGGACAAAGCUUGCAAAGAAAGAAGCCUCUCACAUGGGUAUAAAAAUAUGUGAAUUCCCUUUUAAUAUUUGAUUCUCAUCAUGAACGCUGGAAAGCAGGUCUCUGACAUCAGGGCAGUGAAUUUCCUCUUCCUUUAAUAAUGAAAGAAUCAGUUAUAAAUUUGAUAUGUUUCUAGUCAGACAUUUUUUUCAAAAAGCAAUGGAAAUGUUUUGUGUUCUGGCCUGGAGAGAUAAGCAGGGAAUCAAGCAUCACAAAAUAGAUGCUAUCAGAGGUUACCACUGUUUAGUUUAUACCUAAAUGUUUCACUGUUAAGUAUGAAAAAUUCUCAAUAUAGUUGGUCCAGCCCUUCUGACAGACGGAAUACAGCAAUCAGAAGUGCUGCUGGACACCACGGAACACCCCUGGUCAGGUUUCCACCAGGAAAGAAUGAGUCCUGCAAUAAUUUGCAUGCUCUUCAUCUGAAACAAGUAAGUACAUCUGCAGUAUCCAAACAGAGUGAGGGAUGUUUUCCGAGUUUCUGUUUGUUUUCCUCUUCUGUUUCUCCUCUCCUACACGUUUUGGAGCAGGCUGUUUUGUUCUGCAUCUCUGCAACUCAAUCAUGUAGUACUGAAAGUAGAACUACUGAUACUGGAAAAUAAAUAAAUAGUCUUACCAAGUUUUCCUCCUAAGUUUGGUAUCUCAGUUGCAAGUCAGCAGUGAGUGUGGUCCUUUUUCAUGAUCUAGACUGGUAAAGUAUUUUUCCAGUUUUCAAUUUCCACUAGGGCAUGAUGCUGUCUGUCUCCUGACUGCCCACAAAUUCUCCUCAUACCAAUUUUUAACCUUUUUUAAAUAUUAUGCCUGCAAACAGGACUCUGAAAAAGCUAUUUUAUUUUGAGAACCCACUUCUCCUGUGGUGAGCAACAAGAUUUCAGGGAAAUUCUGAAAAUGCUGUACUCUAAACCAGGAAUUUUUACAUUCAGUCUGACAACUUGGAGUGCAAAACUUCCAUAUACAGAGCAGUCAAAUGUUUACAGACAGCGCGGCACCAGAUGUGGAGAGGAACUUCAAAAAACAUUGUGAAACUGUUCUCUCAAGUAGAGGUGAACUAACAGUUUGGAUGUGAAGAAAAAUGCAUUUCUACUCUGUCCUGUCUGUGCUUUUAGUCCCUAUUCACAUUUAUUUAAAAAGAUCUCAUUUAAAACAGCCGUUAUGUUCUGGGAUGAUCAGAGUCAUUCAGCUGAACUCUGAAAUAAUAGCAGUGGUUAAAGGAAAUCC
rnacentral:lncRNA from 1 species